rnacentral:ribozyme from 1 species
UCUAUUUCUUUUUUUGAAAUUCUCAAAUUAAAGCAGGAACGAAAAAUUAGAAGAAAUUUCUAUAAUUUGAAUUUAAUAUCAGACAAGGAUAUAUAGAUGUAAUCGGAUAUUUUUAAUAAAAUAGAUGUGGACCAGAAUAUGUGGAUAGACAAACGC